rnacentral:rRNA from 1 species
ACUGCCUGAUGGAGGGGGAUAACUACUGGAAACGGUAGCUAAUACCGCAUAACGUCGCAAGACCAAAGAGGGGGACCUUCGGGCCUCUUGCCAUCAGAUGUGCCCAGAUGGGAUUAGCUAGUAGGUGGGGUAACGGCUCACCUAGGCGACGAUCCCUAGCUGGUCUGAGAGGAUGACCAGCCACACUGGAACUGAGACACGGUCCAGACUCCUACGGGAGGCAGCAGUGGGGAAUAUUGCACAAUGGGCGCAAGCCUGAUGCAGCCAUGCCGCGUGUAUGAAGAAGGCCUUCGGGUUGUAAAGUACUUUCAGCGGGGAGGAAGGGAGUAAAGUUAAUACCUUUGCUCAUUGACGUUACCCGCAGAAGAAGCACCGGCUAACUCCGUGCCAGCAGCCGCGGUAAUACGGAGGGUGCAAGCGUUAAUCGGAAUUACUGGGCGUAAAGCGCACGCAGGCGGUUUGUUAAGUCAGAUGUGAAAUCCCCGGGCUCAACCUGGGAACUGCAUCUGAUACUGGCAAGCAUGAGUCUCGUAGAGGGGGGUAGAAUUCCAGGUGUAGCGGUGAAAUGCGUAGAGAUCUGGAGGAAUACCGGUGGCGAAGGCGGCCCCCUGGACGAAGACUGACGAUCAGGUGCGAAAGCGUGGGGAGCAAACGGGAUUAGAUACCCUGGUAGUCCACGCCGUAAACGAUGUCGACUUGGAGGUUGUGCCCUUGAGGCGUGGCUUCCGGAGCUAACGCGUUAAGUCGACCGCCUGGGGAGUACGGCCACAUGGUUAAAACUCAAAUGAAUUGACGGGGGCCCGCACAAGCGGUGGAGCAUGUGGUUUAAUUCGAUGCAACGCGAAGAACCUUACCUGGUCUUGACAUCCACGGAAGUUUUCAGAGAUGAGAAUGUGCCUUCGGGAACCGUGAGACAGGUGCUGCAUGGCUGUCGUCAGCUCGUGUUGUGAAAUGUUGGGUUAAGUCCCGCAACGAGCGCAACCCUUAUCCUUUGUUGCCAGCGGUCCGGCCGGGAACUCAAAGGAGACUGCCAGUGAUAAACUGGAGGAAGGUGGGGAUGACGUCAAGUCAUCAUGGCCCUUACGACCAGGGCUACACACGUGCUACAAUGGCGCAUACAAAGAGAAGCGACCUCGCGAGAGCAAGCGGACCUCAUAAAGUGCGUCGUAGUCCGGAUUGGAGUCUGCAACUCGACUCCAUGAAGUCGGAAUCGCUAGUAAUCGUGGAUCAGAAUGCCACGGUGAAUACGUUCCCGGGCCUUGUACACACCGCCCGUCACACCAUGGGAGUGGGUUGCAAAAGAAGUAGGUAGCUUAACCUUCGGGAGGGCGCUUACCACUUUGUGAUUCAUGACUGGGGUGAAAUCGUAACAAGGUAACCGUAGGGGAACCUGCGGUUG